GAGGCUUGGACUUGGAGCGUGCUGGUCCUGUACUGGGUCGGCUCCUCUUUAAAUGCAUCAGCGGAGUCUUCUUUGACUUCCGGUAUCAGUGUGAUAAUCGUGUUGCGCUGUUGGCCGAGGUCUCAGUCCGCUUAGAAUGGUCUUCGGACAACUUAUCAAGUUUUGACCUCAAAUCAGGUAGGAUUACCCGCUGAACUUAA
rnacentral:misc_RNA from 1 species